AAGAACGUGUGGCUAUUCGUGUGUGUGUAUGUACAACGACAAAGGUUCCCCGUGAAGCCUUCACAAGCCGUUGGGGCAAGUGCUAUAAUAGACACAUAUGGAGGCCGGCAGGGCACACGAUGAGGCUACAAAUCUGAGGAUGGAAAAGGAGCUAAUUUCCCUGUCAGGAAGUCCACCGUCGACAGCGAUGUACUUGGCUGUUUAGACAGUACAGAGGCCUUCAACUAACAAUGUGAACACUUCCGAGAAUUGGCAACAAGACCACAAGACACGAGCCUCCGGGCUCUGGAAACCACCUGGAGAAGAUUCCAGCAGCCACUCCUUCGCCGCCAGCAUCUCGUCCUCCCUGAGGUCGGGAUCCCAGGGCAGGGAGCCGCCAGCCCUCGCCGUCCCCGCCGCCCUCGUCGUCGCUGCCGCCGUCGUCGCCGCCGCCGUCGCCACGGUGGCGUCGAGCGACAUCGCGUCCGCGUGGCUUCGCUGGAUCCGUUCGUAGAAGAGAGUCUUCUCCUUCAGCCACAGCGCGAAAUUGCACCUGCAAGGCGACAAUGAGAAGAGACACGGGGUUGUCUGUGCCUCCAGCGGCCAGAUGCGUCUCGACUCGACGGAGCGUUGCGCAACCCCACAACUUCCAGGCUGAAACGAACCUGUCUGACGAUGACAUUGACAGACGUUUCAUAUAAAAUAAAGCCUUCAAAGUAACAAUUAGGGUACACGGUCUGGUGCCAUGAUCUCAGAUUACCCCUCCUAGUGGUUAGCUGUGUUUUUUUUAUGUUUGUUGCGUCGUUCGCGUGACUUGCAUCUCAAAAACGCUGACGGGUUUGUAACGUGGACAGUUUUCUUCUCACAGAGUCACAGGGGGAAGCCGCAGACAAAGCUGAAAGGCACCCAGAACCGGUGCCAACAAUUUCCCAAGCUCUGUGAUCCUAUAUUGGGACAUUUGGCCAACUUUGUUUCAGGAUCUACUUGCGUCCAGCCUCAACGAGGAGUUGGGAUCUCAUGCUCACAACAUCUGGGCCCACCAUGGAAGUGGAGAAGGAUGGUGAAUUCACCAUGGAAGUGGAGCAGGAUGGUGAAUUCACCAUGGAAGUGGAGAAGGAUGGUAAGCUACCAUUCCUGGAUGUUUUGUUUGAGAAGAGACCUGACGGCUCGUUGGGACACUCUGUCUAUAGGAAAGCCACCCACACAGAUUCCUAUCUGAAACCUGAUUCCCACCACCAUCCAGCACAAGAGAAUUCCCUCAUCAAAACACUACACCAUAGGGCCUACUGCAUUUGCGAUCAACACCACCUAGCCAGUGAACUGGAACACGUACACCAGGCCCUCAAAAUGAAUGGGUACUCGGACCGCAUUAUUCGCUAAGCUGUUUCUCCAACCAUGGAGAAACAACCCCCUGAGAAGCCAAUCAAAACCAUCACGUUACCAUACAUAGCAGGUGUUACCAAAAAGAUUUCCAAAAUCUUAAAAAAACACAAGAUCCAGGUCCGAUUCAAUACAGUACACAAAAUCCGUGGUCUAAUCCCAUCUGUGAAAGAUGUCAUUCCUGACAUGCAAUAUCCUGGGAGUCUACAAACUGAGUUGUACCUGCGGUGGAAAUUACAUUGGGAAAUGAAACGACAUGUCUCAGACCGUGUUCGCAAACACAAGGCAGAUGUGAAACACGGCAGAACUAAUACCUCUGCCGUAGCUGACCAUUGUUAUAAGGCUGUGGGCUCGCAUGAUAUUGUUUUUUACCGAGACCAAGGUACUCUGCAAACCUUCGGGCUACUACCAAAGGUUUGUUCAUGAAGCCAUCCAGAUAUAUAAACAUAGACAUCACUUCAAUCGAGAAGAUGGAUCAAAUUGAGCAAUCAUUGGAAGGAUGUUAUUAACCAGGUAAAACCUUAACUGUUUAUGGUUGUUCCAUCAUAUAUGCCGGGUACUAGUCUAUUUUUCCGAGUUAAUUUCUCCCCGCAUCCCCAGCGUUUGCCAUUGCUGCUUCAUUGGCAUGUUGCUGCAUUGUCACUCGUGCACCGCCCGUGCUUCUGGUGUUGUUGAUACACUUGGGCUACGCCCAUCCCCAAACCUUGAUAAACAAUUUGCCUUUAGAGGCUGACUCCUUUUCCUGAUGACGACCCCUUGUGUUGCGAUGGAAACGUCGUGAUUUGUUUUAUUUUAUUUUAUUUCUAACUACGUGACUUUACCGAAAGAACCAAAGAAUAUGAGCGUUCCUUUGGCUAACCAUGGGCCCCUGAAUGCAAAGUUUAGCAAAGACACACACCCAAAUGGCUUACCUUUGUGGGAUAAAAAUAAAUAAAUGUAUGACAAACGACAGCUUGAGAGGAAGCGCAGUGGACGUGGAGCAAUGCACGCAGCCCUGCAAGCUCGAGGGUGUAAAUUCCACUCCUCGUAGAACAUUGCUUCUACCACAUCAUCAAGUGAAUUUUUUACCUACGUGACUUUACCGAAAAAACCUAAGAGUAUGAAUCCUUGCAGUCACGAAAGCUUCAAAUCUAGAAUUAAGUGAAUAUCUAUCCAGCAGUGGAUAGAAAAUGUAUAUGUUCAAAUUAUGACGGGCAGAAUACGUUCCUAAAUAAAGGAUAUGGACUUUCAUAGCUACGUCACGGACACCUUUUAGCUUUGCGAUGGCAGAAACCACUUUUGUCCCGGAGCCUGAGCAGAAACCAGUUUUGUCCCGGAGCCUGAGCAGAAACCAGUGGCACUGGAGGGAGUCGAGUCCUCUGCCGUCAUGCAGACGCGAUCGUACGGCAAGAGUCAAUUACUAGACAACUUCCACUCACUUCCUCCAGCGGUUGUUCAUUAUUAUUACUCCUUUUAUUUGACCACAUCACACAUAUUGAUUCUACGGAUGUUUCGGAGUUCAGCCCCGCAGCAAUGUCAGCAACUUCGUUAUCAAAAAUUGUCGCCGGUUGAAGCUCUACAUUCCUUGAGACGAUUCGUCGGUGAAGGCAGAAAGAAAGCGAGUUUCUGGCUUGCGAGUUCAUUUAGACAGCGAGCGACCAAAGCGGUGCCUCCUCCCAGUGGCUUCAGUCGACUUGUGACUGAUUUGGGAUUAGACAAAAAUUACACAAACUGCACACAAAAACACGCUCAAACAGUGCAAAUGCACCUGGUGUCCAUAUACAGUACCGCAUGUAAAACAUUCAUGUCAAUACUUUGUGUGCACGCUCACGAGUUUGGAAAGUGUUGCAGAUCAGUUUGCGACAGCGGUGAUUGUAGAAACCGCGCCAGUGCAGUGCUCAAACCAUCACCACGACGUACACGUGGACAUGAGAGCAAUGACGCAUCAGCUGUGACUCUACAGUCUUCACGACAGCUGUUAUUCAAUCCAUUUGUCAUCCUUUACUGUCAUCAAUUUAAUUUUUUACCGAAUUCACGCUUCACAGAUUCGACCCCAUUGCUUUCUCUCAUCUAUUCUAUCCCCCUCAUCUCAUCCAUUACAGUGCUAUACCAUACUCUUUGGUUCUUUCGGUAAAGUCACGUAGGUAUAAAAUAAAAUAAAUCAGUUCUGCUGACCAGCAGUUCUCCUGCUGCUGUAUCUGUUCCACCUGAUGACGGCCGCUUGUGUUGCGAUCGAAACGUCGUGAUUUUAUUUAUUUUCUACCCACGUGACUUUACCAAAAGAACCAAAUAGUUUGGAUUCCUGCAUUAACGAAAGCUUCAAAUCAAGAUUAUUACAGUGAUGUGUUGUGUCGUUGUUAUUUCUCUGCAAAGCGCAUUGAUUAAGGUGCUAUUUAAAUUUCGCUAAGAUCAGAAUAACAUAUUUAGAUUUUUAAAUACAGGGAAAAAGAGUUACGUAUUUCAAAGGCUACGGUUAUAAUGUAAGGACUAGAAUUCACAAUGUCAGUAUUAAUGAUCGAUCAACAAGCGAUGAAUGCAUCUCUUGGAUGACAGCAUUUGAAUAUAACCACGGCAGGAACCGAGAACAUCUCACGAACCUGAGUAUUCCUGCAUGGCAGCGUUUGUUUAAGACCCUGACAUUGUAAAUGUACACGCCACUCCCACGUACCUGAG